rnacentral:lncRNA from 1 species
GAGAAAUGCUGAAGGUCCAAACGAAAGCAGACAGCUUUGACCUAAAACAUUUCCCACUUGAAGGAUUCAGGCACCUAAGAAUCAGUGGAUUCCGUUAUUUCCUCCAAACCGAGAUGCAGGCCACCUGCCGAUGAGAAUAACCUUCCUAAGCCAGACGACACAGGGCAGCCUGACGUGGUCUAUGCCUCUCUGGAUUCUGCAGGAGUAGAGGUGGAGCCAGCAAUUUUACCUUCUUCUCAGGGGUGCUGUUCAGAUUGGCAAACUGGACAAAACUUAGUAAUUGGGCUGAGUAACGCAUCUUCAAAGCAUUGAAUCCAGAAAGCCCACUGCGAAGGUCUCUUGGCCCAGUGUUUCCAGACCGUAAAUGAGAUGUUUGUGUUGGAAGAGAUCUGAAGAGCAUCCAGUCUUGCGGUUCUCAACUCCAGAGAGGUGGUCAGAUGCGCUGUAUGAGACCUUCGCUCAAGUGACUGGCGGCAUAGCUAUUGACUACAAGGGCUGAUUGUCCAAAAAGCCAUGGAGGAAAUUUUCCUAAAAGUCAUAGGGUUAGAUGGUGGAUGGAAGGAUCAAAACCCACUGCAGUAUGGAAUCACAGUCUCUUAGGAAAGGCUCACAGGAUUUAAAAAGUCCACUCCCUAGACAGACACACCUGCAUCCCAGGAGCAUCUAAGAGAAGUCUCUCCCCGCCCCCCCUUCUCUGCAAGCUAAGAUCCCAUCCUUGCUCUUGAAGAAGUAAGCUUCCACAGUGAGCUCGAAGACAGGGUCUCCCUUGUAAGAGGAUGCUUUGAUUUAGAUUUGAAGUUCAAAGCCCCCAUAAAAGAUAGAAAUGUCCACGUAAGAAUGUCUGGAAUGGCUGUAUCAGGCUUUCUUGAGGACUGAGAACCUCUCGUUGAUAAGAGAGGUAUUGCAAUGUGGUCCCUGGGACUGCCGUGUGACAGGAUCGGAAGAAUGUGACAGCUUCGUGUGGAAUGACAUUAAAAAUCAGCAAAUAUAUACAAAAUGACUAAGUGAGUUACAAAAUAUAAUUGUUCUAAUGCUCAGAUUGUCAUUAAGUUUUUAUAAAAUAUUUUUGAGGCAGCUCAAAAUAAGAUGGCUUUACUCUAUUUUCUUUUCCCAGCAGAUUUAAAUCGAGCUUUCCUCUUUGCAAGCCCCUGGUGCCAAGCCUUCCAUAUGUCUCACAUAUCAGGGGUACCAAUGAAAAGCUUUAUUGCCCUUUCCUAGACCUAUCCUCAGGAGCUAGUCGUCUUUCUGGAAAUUUACCGUAAGACCUGUGCCAGCAAGUUUCAUGCAUUGGAUGGUCCCUGAUUUUAGUCAGGAGGUCCUAUUUCCA